rnacentral:rRNA from 1 species
UACGUAGGGGGCGAGCGUUGUCCGGAUUUACUGGGCGUAAAGGGCGUGCAGGCGGUGCAGUGCGUUUGGAGUGACAGUUCCCGGCUUAACCGGGAAAGGACUGCCAAAGACGGCUGGACUAGAGGGCCAGAGAGGGACAUAGAAUUCCGGGUGGAGUGGUGAAAUGCGUAGAUAUCCGGAGGAAUACCAAAGGCGAAGGCAGUGUCCUGGUUGGCAUCUGACGCUGAGGCGCGAAAGCUAGGGGAGCGAACAGG